GCGUUCCGCCGGUGAACCGUCACUCAACUACUGUAGGACUGUGUUCCAUGAUCCGUAACGUGAGUUUCGUCGUUCCCUCCAGCAACUGACAGAAGUGCUUCAACCAACGUCAUGGUUCCAACGAGAACCAGAAAACUAGCAGCUAACUUCAAAUGUCCAGACACCAGCGAGCCACCGCGUGGGUCUGGAACAAGACCGUCGCCCGGCAUGAUUGGCUGACGUGUACGGGUUAUUGUUUUAUUUACCAUCUCACAAAAAUCAUACUCCUCCACUUCUGGCUUGACUAUUAUGCAGCAUGGAAGACCCUUUUAUUCAUUUGUAGCAAAAAAAAUUGGCAUCAAUGAACAAAUUUUCACCCUUAUGGAAUCUGUUCAGAUACUUCCUGGUCUGACGACGACGCGGUACGUGUCAGCCAAUCAUGACGCAGUCGUCUUUAGACCAGGAAGCAGCACAGACGUGCCGUUUUUUUUACUCAUAUAAAUGUGACAGAAAGUGCCAUUUAAAUAUUCAUUCAUAAUUGUUAUUUUGAUUGUAUUAAAUCAAGCUAUUGUUGACACAUGCUGAUAUUGUUGUUGUUGUUGUUGUCACUAUCUUUAAUACCAAAGCAGUAACAUGUAAUAGUGAGUAGCAUCUGUCUCAACUUAUGUCUGCUGAAAAAUUGAUCAGUACUUGGGUGUAGGCUCCAUAAUACUUCUGUUUUUAUAUUGUGAAGUAGCUAAACCUCUGUACCAAGAUGGCGGAGCUGUUGGCUCAAUGUCCACUGUUCAGUCUCAUGACAUUUCAGAUGUUUAUUGAGAAAUUUCAGAAAUGUUCAAAUUCAUGUGAGAAACAGCAAGAUUUUGUUUUUAUCUCAUGAAUAUUAACCUGAAAUAGUUCUCGUGUUUGAAAGAUAUUUUCUAAAGUUGAACAGAAAAUUCUUUAGUUCUGUAUUGCUGUUUUAGUUGACAGGGCCGCCAGAAGGCCACCUCUUGAGGUUAUGGUAAUAAUAACCUGCCAGUGUGUGUAACUGAUGUUUGUGUAAUGAGCUAAACAAACUCCUGUCAGUCAGUCAUUAUUUCUCCUUAGUUCCAGUUGGCUGCAAAAUAAACUUGUAGUUAAUUCAGCCGUUUACAGGACAACAGUGGGUUGAUUGACACGUGAUAAUAAAUUGUUUUCACUUUGCUUCAACGUGACAAUAUCCAGUUGCUGGAUGUGUCCUCGCGCCCUGAGCCAGAGAAGACAAACAAAUAAACAAGUAUUUGGGUGCGAACUGUGCUGCAGCGCGGACUGCAUUGUUCCUGUCCCGGCCUGUUGUGUCGGCUCACCUGUGGGUUUGGUAGAGAGCAGCUUGUUUGUGUCUCUCUCUCUCUCACACACACCUCCUCCCCCUCCCAACCAUGCGCCACAUCAAAGCGUGU